rnacentral:rRNA from 1 species
UACGUAGGUGGCGAGCGUUGUCCGGAUUUACUGGGCGUAAAGGGAGCGUAGGCGGACUUUUAAGUGAGAUGUGAAAUACUCGGGCACAACUUGAGUGCUGCAUUUCAAACUGGAAGUCUAGAGUGCAGGAGAGGAGAAUGGAACUCCUAGUGUAGCGGUGAAAUGCGUAGAGAUUAGGAAGAACACCAGUGGCGAAGGCGAUUCUCUGGACUGUAACUGACGCUGAGGCUCGAAAGCGUGGGGAGCAAACAGG